CCCGGAGCCCUUCGAAAGCCUAUUCGGCUGUGCUACUUCCGGCUGGCUGCCAGCAAGCCGCUAGCAUGCAGCCUUGCUGCAGUUGCUACAUUAGGCUAAAACGCUGGCAACUGCAGCUGCAGCGCUGUGCAGCCGAGCAGGCCCUUUCCCGUUGCCCCCGUCCUUGACCGCCCGCUGCCCGGAUGUCCUCCGCUUCAUCCUCCCUAAGUGACCAUGUCCCCAUGAAUCCUGUCCAAAUUCGGCUUCCCUGUGUACGUCUGGCGCGCAUUUGCGCCCCAUUCACCUCGCUCGUGUCCUCUUCGUCCAUGGCCAGCCUCCGGCCAGUCCGCCGGGCCCGGGCGCCGGCUACCGUCCGCAUCUUGCCUCCCUCACGGCGCGGUUCUCCCCGUCUGAAUCCACACAUCCUCCCCGUCUGGCUGCAAGGCCACUUAAUCUGCGAUUGGACUACAUGCGAGCUACUCCGUGAUUGCAAUUCAAGGAAAUUCAAUGCAGUAUGGCUCAAGUAUAAAGCAGAUUCUCCUCAGUAGCUGUACAGUCACUCUGAUUUGGAUGCUCAGUCAGAUUCAUCACUGACUAGUGAGUAACAACAAUCCUUUUUUUUUGUUUUUGUUUUCUUCUUCGUUUGAGAAUGUAAUUGUAAACCACGUAAUAUAUGACAUUGAAGUUUGAUCGUA